rnacentral:rRNA from 1 species
CGGAUCGCGGCGACGUGAGCGGUUCGCUGCCCGCGACGUCGCGAGAAGUCCACUGAACCUUAUCAUUUAGAGGAAGGAGAAGUCG